GGGUGGUAGCAAUAAUAAGGGAGAAAAGAGGCUACCCGAUGAUCAGAAGCUAGAAAGAGGCAAUCUUGCAUUAGAGAGAAGCUUGCACCGGUCUAAUGAGAUCAGGGUCAUCAGAUGUGAAAAAGAUACCACUGGUAACAUUAGCAAGAUCUACAUAUAUGAUGGUGUCUAUAAAAUUAGCGAGUCUUGGGUGGAGAAAGGGAAGUCUGGUUUCAAUCUCUU
rnacentral:misc_RNA from 1 species